GCCUUCGUGGUGUAACGGUAACCCACUCGGCGCAUAUUCGAGAGGUCCAGGUUCGAGUCCCGGCGAGGGCA
rfam:Stegodyphus mimosarum contig66772, whole genome shotgun sequence.